rnacentral:rRNA from 1 species
UACAUGGGGUGCAAACGUUGCUCGGAAUUAUUGGGCGUAAAGCGCACGUAGGCGGUUUGUUAAGUCGGAUGUGAAAUCCCUCGGCUCAACUGAGGAAGUGCAUCCGAAACUGGCAGGCUUGAGUACUAAAGAGGGUCGCGGAAUUCCCGAUGUAGAGGUGAAAUUCGUAGAUAUCGGGAGGAACACCGGUGGCGAAGGCGGCGACCUGGGUAGAUACUGACGCUGAGGUGCGAAAGCGUGGGGAGCAAACAGG